ensembl:lncRNA
AUGAAGCAUCUAUCAUUCUUCUACUUCUACUUCAUCUCUAAUCUUCUCUCCAAGCAGUGGAGCUUCUGUGGGCUCCUCUCCCAUCCCAGAGAGCUGACAGGCGGUCAGUACUCAUGCUGUAGUUGGAGUGGAUGUUUACCUCACUGCAUCCAGUACCAACCUAAUGAGGGUGCAAGGAAAGAACGCCAGAACAUCAGAGACUGGUUUCCAUGUUGAAAGCCCUCUACUAUCAAGUCUGGAUAAAAAGAAACAUUGUCAGACACCACCGCAAGUAUCAAGUGUUAUGAAUUUUAUUUGACUGUUUAUUAAGUACUUUUUUGUUUUUGGUGCUAUUAAGUUUAAUAUUAGUUAGGUUAGGUUAAUGCAUUUGUAGUCGUUGAUUUGAUUAUUUAAUAUUAACAGUUUAAUGUACUCAUCAUUUCUAUUGGUCUUUAUUAAUGUAUUAUUAAUAUAACAAAAAGUGAAAGUACAGGUUAUGCCAAUCAGUAGUCUUAUGUUUAUUACCUCAUUUGUUGGACCUUAAUUUUUUAGGCAGUGUUCUGGCUGCAACAGCUGCACAUAAUUUAAUGUAAAUCUGAACUUUUGAAUUAAAAAAAGGAUUGUAUUAUACAGCUGUUCUGUGCUUUUUCAAUAGAUUUUAACAUUUAUUUCAAUGGUAAUUAUUGUGAAAAAAGCAGCAGUUCAUUGUGAAUUUUACAUUUGUCAACAAAGUAUACCGUUAUGUAUUCUGCAUUAUUGCUAUAUUUUCCACGGUGAAAUUCUGGCAACCACAGCUGCCAGUAAUUUGCCGUAAUAUUGAACUUUUUUAUAGUUAUUUUAUACAGUUUCACUGUAUUUAACAAUACAAAUCUGUAAUCAGGUUAACGGAAUUUCUGCUGUUUUCACAUGAAUUACCAUUAACAGGUUUAUGGUUCUAUAUUGUGAAUUUUACAUUGAUCAAUGAAGUAUACCGUUAUGUAUUCUGCAUUAUCACUAUAUUUUUCACGGUGAAAUUCUGGCAACCACAGCUGCCAGUAAUUUACCAUAAUAUUGAACUUUUUAAUAUUAGGCCAUAUUAUUUUAUACAGUUCCACUGUAUUUAACAAUGCAAGACUGUAAUCAGGUUAAUAGAAUUUCUGUUGUUUCCACUUGAAUCAACCAUGAACAAUUUCACAAUUAAUUUUUUUAAUUAAUAGUUAUUUACUGUGAAUUUUAUGGUUACAAGAAUUGUAUACCGUUUUGUGUUCUAUAUUUAAAAUCUAUUUUUUACGGUGAAAUUCUGGUAACCACAGCUGCCAGUAAUUUACCGUAAUAAUAAAAUUUUUAAUAUCAUACCGUAUUAUUUUAUACAGUUUCAUUAUAUUUAACAAAGUAAGACUGUAAUCAGGUUAACGGAAUGUCUGUUGUUUUCACAUGAAUUACCCAUAAACAAUUUUACAAUUUACAGUUAUUUACUGUAAAAAAAUAUUAUUAUUUACUGUGAAAUUUAAGGUUACCAAAAUAGUAUACCGUUUUGUGUUCUACAUUUACAAUUUAUUUUUCACGGUGAAAUUCUGGCAACCACAGCUGCCAGUAAUUCACCGUAAAUUCUACAAUUUUUUUUUUUACAGUGUAUAAAAGUAGAUGGAUUAGAGUUAGGGGUUCUUAUUUUCUUUAACCGACAUAAUUAAACAUUUCAGUUACUGUUGGAGGAAAUCUCCCAAAUAGAAGGCUGCCAAAGUAAAACAGAGACACAGUGAGACAAUAUAAUCAAUCACAUGUACAUGGGGUGAACGUCUCUAAUGAGAGUCACACCAGUACACUUCUUUAUUGCAGGUUAUAUAGGCACAACAGGGCGGAGGCAGUCUCCGCCAGUUCUCAGAAUAUAGAUUGCUUAACAGACAAAUGCAUAUCUUACUAAACAUUCUGUCCGUACUAUACUAAACGUCUGCUUAAGUGGCACUUUCCGUUCUUCUUUACACAGGAACUUGUCUUCACAGGCAUUUGAUAAGCAUAGGCAAGGCUUCAUGUUUAUCAGGGUGAAUCGUCAUUCAGAGUUUACACAAUCACAAGCAAAGCAUAUUUGAAUAAUAAACAAAAUCUUUUCACAGUUACAUAAAAUGUGAAUUUUUAUUUUAUCUACUGUAUAGCCUGUAUAAUAAAUAAGUAUUUAAUCCAA